rnacentral:tRNA from 1 species
AGGAUCGCAAGAAGGAAACUAGGUUUCUAACCUCGGGCUCAAGCAGUUAAAUUCUGUUUCUAUCCUU